rnacentral:rRNA from 1 species
ACUCAAAUGAAUUGACGGGGGCCCGCACAAGCGGUGGAGCAUGUGGAUUAAUACGUCACUAACCGUAGAACCUUACCCAGGCUUGACAUCCAGGGAACCUUCCUGAAAGGGAGGGGUGCUCGCAAGAGAGCCCUGAGACAGGUGUUGCAUGGCUGUCGUCAGCUCGUGUCGUGAGAUGUUGGGUUAAGUCCCGCAACGAGCGCAACCCUCAUCGUCUGUUGCCAGCAUUCAGUUGGGCACUCUGACGAAACUGCCCGGGUAACCGGGAGGAAGGUGGGGAUGACGUCAAGUCAGCAUGGCCCUUACGCCUGGGGCUUCACACAUGCUACAAUGGACGGUACAGAGGGCUCCGAGACCGUGAGGUGGAGGUAAUCCCAAAAAGCCGUCCUCAGUUCGGAUUGCAGGCUGCAACUCGCCUGCAUGAAGUCGGAAUCGCUAGUAACCGCCGGUCAGCUAAACGGCGGUGAAUACGUUCCCGGGCCUUGUACACACCGCCCGU